ACUUGACAAAGAUAAAGGCAUACAUAAUUCACAUGGAGAAAUUAGUAUUCAAUUCAAGUCUAACUCUUAAUAAAGCACUUGUUUCAUAGGUGAGCAACUAGAGGGAAUGAAAGGUAUACUUUUAAUCACGAUUCAGCAAUUACCUUGCGUAGAUAAAUGAUUUCAGCUCACUCAACAUCCAAAGAAAAAAUUUAAUUUAUUACAACAUGCUUAUUUCAAAUCAUGUAAAUGAAACUAAGAAACCACACAAGCAAAGAGGGUCACAUUCUUACCUCCAAUGUUCACUUUUCAAGCUUACUAGAAAGGUAUAGUAAGAAAGGAAAAAAAAAAUAUUAUAUGAAAUCAUACAGUUAAGUCAUCAUAUUACUUUAAAAUUGCCAAAACUAACAAGUCAUUAUAAGCUUAUCACAAUAAGAAACAAGUUUGCUUCCUAUCCUCAACUCACAAUUCAUGGUAACAAAUUAUCAUGGAAACUAAAUAGACAUUGUCAAAAAUGAAACAAAUAUUAGGCAAAUCACUGAAAAAUAACUAUGUCCUAAUUAUGUACAAAGUCAUGUUACCAUCUUGAACAAAUAUUGCAUAUUCUGGAAAGAAGAACCGCACACAUACUCAAAAGAUUUUUU
rnacentral:lncRNA from 1 species